UACGAAGGGGGCUAGCGUUGCUCGGAAUCACUGGGCGUAAAGCGUGCGUAGACGGUUAUGUAAGUCAGGUGUGAAAGCCCCGGGCUCAACCUGGGAAUGGCAUUUGAGACUGCAUAGCUAGGGUGCGGAAGAGGGAAGCGGAAUUUCCGGUGUAGCGGUGAAAUGCGUAGAUAUCGGAAGGAACAUCAGUGGCGAAAGCGGCUUCCUGGUCCAGCACCGACGUUCAGGCACGAAAGCGUGGGGAGCAAACAGG
rnacentral:rRNA from 1 species